GAUGAACGCUGGCGGCGUGCCUAAUACAUGCAAGUCGAGCGAACGGACGUGAUUUUUGUUUUUCUGAUGUUGUCGUCGGACGGGUGAGUAAUACGUGGCUCACCUAUCUUUUACACUGGGCUAACUUCUGGAACCCGGAGCUUAUACCUGAUAAUCUUUUGAACCGCAUGGUUCUAACUUUAAUGACGGUCUUUCUUUUACUGAUUGAUGAUUCCCCGCUGCAUUAGCUAGUUGUUGAGGUAAUGGUUUACUAAGGCAACGAUGCCUAGCGGACCUGAGAGGGUGAUCGGGCACAAUGGAACUGAGACACGGUCCAGACUCAGACGGGAGGCAGAAGUAGGGAAGCUGCAGAAAUGGGCGAAAGCCUGACGGAGCAACGCCGCGUGAGUGAUGAAGGUCUUCGGAUCGUAAAACUCUGUUAUUAGGGAAGAACAGAUGUGUAAGUAACUGUGCACAUCGUGACGGUACCUAAACAGAAAGCCACGGCUAACUACGUG
rnacentral:rRNA from 1 species